rnacentral:rRNA from 1 species
GACGAACGCUGGCGGCGUGCUUAACACAUGCAAGUCGAACGGCAGGGCCCGCUUGGGGGUGCUCGCGUGGGGCGCAGGUGAGUAACAUGUAAGUAACCUGGCCUUGUCUUCGGGGUUACUUCAGGAAAAUGGGGCUAAUACCGGCUAGGAAUCUUUGCUGCAUGGUGGGGGUUGGAAAGCUUCGGCGGUAUUGGAUGGACUCGUGGCUUAUCAGCUUGUUGGUGGGGUAGUGGCUUACCAAGGCUUUGAUGGGUAGCCGGCCUGAGAGGGCGACCGGCCACCUAGGGACUUACAGACGGCCCAGACUCCGACGUGAGGAAGAUGUGGGGAAUAUUGCACCAUCGGCGCAAGCCGCAGGAAGCAACGCCUCGGGCUGGAUGACGGUCUUCUGGUUGAAAACCUCUUUCAGCAGAAGCGAAGCUUGGGGUGACGGUACCGGCAGAAUAAGCACCGGCUAACUACGUG